rnacentral:rRNA from 1 species
CAGCCGCCACGGUAAUACAGAGGAUGCAAGCGUUAUCCGGAAUGAUUGGGCGUAAAGCGUCUGUAGGUGGCUUUUCAAGUCCGCCGUCAAAUCCCAGGGCUCAACCCUGGACAGGCGGUGGAAACUACCAAGCUGGAGUACGGUAGGGGCAGAGGGAAUUUCCGGUGUAGCAGUGAAAUGCGUAGAUAUGCGGAGGAACACCGAUGGCGAAGGCAGCCCCCUGGGCCAAUACUGACGCUCAUGCACGAAAGCGUGGGGAGCAAACAGGAUUAGAUACCCGGGUAGUCCCUGUCUCUUAUAC